UUUCCGUAGGUGAACCUGCGGAAGGAUCAUUAAUGAGUUGUCAUGGGGUUCGAUGCUGGCAGCCAAUUUUUGGAUGCAUGUGCUUGCCCUAACAAUCAUCUUCCAAACACCUGUGCACAUUUUUGAGGGAGUCUUGAGUUGGUUGCCGCUCUUGGGUGAUUUUCUCACAUUCCCUUAAAUCAUUAUACGCUAUUAACAAUGUUGAACGUGCUCUGUGCCGCAAGGCUAUUAAUAUAAUACAACUUUUAACAACGGAUCUCUUGGCUCUC
rnacentral:misc_RNA from 1 species